GACGAACGCUGGCGGCGUGCCUAAUACAUGCAAGUCGAGCGAAUCGUUGGGAGCUUGCUCCCAACGAUUAGCGGCGGACGGGUGAGUAACACGUGGGCAACCUGCCUGUAAGACUGGGAUAACUUCGGGAAACCGGAGCUAAUACCGGAUAAUUCUUUUCUACUCAUGUAGGAAAGCUGAAAGACGGUUUCGGCUGUCACUUACAGAUGGGCCCGCGGCGCAUUAGCUAGUUGGUGAGGUAACGGCUCACCAAGGCGACGAUGCGUAGCCGACCUGAGAGGGUGAUCGGCCACACUGGGACUGAGACACGGCCCAGACUCCUACGGGAGGCAGCAGUAGGGAAUCUUCCGCAAUGGACGAAAGUCUGACGGAGCAACGCCGCGUGAGUGAUGAAGGUUUUCGGAUCGUAAAACUCUGUUGUUAGGGAAGAACAAGUACGAGAGUAACUGCUCGUACCUUGACGGUACCUAACCAGAAAGCCACGGCUAACUACGUGCCAGCCGCCGCCGUAAUAC
rnacentral:rRNA from 1 species